CCAUCUCACAUUCAGCAUCUGGAUAUCAGCGUGGCUAAGACUGAUAAGGACACAUUCAACAAAUGGACUUGAACCAGAUUCCUCCAUACAAGUAUACAUUUUGAUAGUGAUGCAGCACAGCCAGCCAUUUAGGUUUCAUUUUUAAAGGCAGAUUAUAUUUCUUUUUGUAGUCAUACGUGGCCACAAAUUUGUGUGUUUGUUAAAUCAUGUAAUGGAAAAAACAGGGGCAGAACAUUUAAUUUCAUGCUUAGAGAUGAGCAAUCUCUGGAAAUCCAACCUGUGAAACCACUAAACACAGAACAGCAAUAGCUGACAUUGCAGUUGAUGAAGUAACUACCAUUAUUAGCUAAAGAGAAUGCUACGUUUAAAAAAAAUCAAACCAAGAACAAACGUUUUCAGAAUGUUGGAAAGCCCCAAGCAGGAAACUUGUCACAAGUCAAACAACUCUACAACUGAUACAAAAGGGUAAAACCCAAAUUUCCUCAUCUCAUCUGUACUGCCUGUUGGAGAGUUAAAACUUGAAGCAUGUGACAGUGGCCCAGCAGCAGGAGAUGCAACAGCUGCUGUUGUAUUUCGUUUUUUGAUGACAUUUUGUCUAUUCAGGGCAACUUCAUUCAAAUUAAACAGAACACUCUGAAUAUCAUAAUGUGCAAAACUUUUGGAGCAAGUCCAAAGUCUGAUGCUAUCAGCAGAAUGGCUAUCUUCUAUAUCUGAAGACUUUCCUUAUUCUCCUUCACCUUUGGUAUUACUCAUCUUGCAAAAAAUGGAAGAGUCUCCAGUCUCUGAUUUGGAACAUCUUUUAAGUGGUUUGUCUCUAUACUUGAAAGCCCUAUUCCCCACCCUCUGACCAUCUAUAGCAUCCAAUGAAAAGCCAGAUCCAUUACUCAAAAGUAGUUAAUGGUCCGUGGGCACGGUGAUCAGAUUUCUCAUUUUGUAUCCCUUUAAUAAAUCAAAUGAACUCUCCCCUGAAGUUCCCUUAUCAAUUGAUGAGGUACUACCAUAUACUUUAUGUAAUGAAGGGCCCGAUUAAAAAGUUGGCGACAUUCACUUGCAAUAUCACUAUUACUCCGUUGCCUUAUCUUGAGAAGAACUUUUCUUGUUGAGCUAGUGCUGGAAAAACCUUCAGCCUGUUUACUUUUGUUUUUGAGGGUAUUCUGGAUACUCUUCACCAUAGUAGAAUCACUCGAAUUCAUGACUCGAGCAUCCUGACUAGUCCUGCUCACUUCUUUCAAAUUUUAUUUCCUAAGUGGUCAAUCUGCAAUUCAUGCCCUUACCCCCAUUUUAGGAACACCUGGAGUAGCAGAUAUAUGAUGGGAACUUUCACUACGUGGUGGCCUAACAAGAGACCUUGCAUAUGAACCUAAGCUACCAUUCUGUGACCUGCAAUGCCGCAUAUCAUUUUAACAAGCUUUUUGUGGUCCACCUGGUACAGAAGUUUGGAUUCCACUUGCAACUGACUUCUCAGUCUGGGACCUUUUCAAACUAAUUAUGAUCUGAAAAUAGACUAGACUAAUAGACUUACUUAAAAGCUUCCAGAAUAAAACACGCCCAUGUUUGUUCUGUGGAUAAUUUCACUCCAGAAAUUGCCCUGUUAUUGAAGAUAGGAGGAAGGAAAAAAAGUAUUUUUUCUUAGUAACUUGCAUGGAAUGUAUCAGCUGCUGUCUUCAUUUUAUUUGUGUUUUCCAGAAAGACUUCCUUUGUGUGGUUUCUGAAUCCACAUUUGUCAGGCCAUCCAAGCAGUGCUUCUAGUGCAACUGCUAUCAGAAGAUGUUAAUGGAUGAUGUUCUCUUUGAUAAUCACUGAGCCGGCUUUGCAUCUGGCUUUGCAUCUCACUCAUCUGUGCAAAAGACCAUUACUGACUCUGGGAUUGUGUUACGGCUCCUCCUGCAGGCAGCAGUCACAGACCCUCAUUGUCCGCACAUAAAUCUAAAACAGGCAGCUUCCAGAGCCCGCAUAAAUCCCCCGCCUCUUCUACUCACCACUGUCUGUGAACAUCCCCACUGCAACAGAGACGUUCUCCACCCAGUCCCUCCUCUUACCCAAGUUAAGAAUAAAGCUACUCCCUGCCUGCUCUUGCUCAGCCUCAGUUCACCUUUGUUUCGACCAAUCAUUUUGUUGGGAUUUGCAUAUGCCAGGAUUCUGCCAUUCCAGGACCACAAUCACAAUGUGAAUUUGGAUCUCUGCUCCAGGUGCCUGAAAUG